UACGGUAGGGUGCAAGCGUUAAUCGGAAUUACUGGGGCGUAAAGCGUGCGCAGGCGGCUUUGCAAAGACCAGGAUGUGAAAAGUCCCCCGGGCUUAACCUGGGAACUGCAUUUGUGGACUUGCAUGGCGUGGAGGUGCGGGCAGAGGGGGAUGGAAUUCCGCGUGUAGCAGUGAAAUGCGUAGAUAUGCGGAGGAACACCGAUGGCGAAGGCAAUCCCCUGGGCCUGCACUGACCGGCUCAUGACACGGAAAGCCGUGGGGGAGCAAACAAGG
rnacentral:rRNA from 1 species